UGCCCCUGAACCCCAGAACAACCAGCUGGAUCAAUUCUCAUAGGAGCCACAGCGCGGAGACUGUGAAACAUGGUUCCAAAACUGUUCACUUCCCAAAUUUGUCUGCUUCUUCUGUUGGGGCUUCUGGCUGUGGAGGGCUCACUCCAUGUCAAACCUCCACAGUUUACCUGGGCUCAGGGGUUUGACGUCCAUCAGUAGGAACCAGCUCCAAUGCACCAAUGCAAUGCGGGUAAUUAACAAUUAUCAACGGCGAUGGAAAAACCAAAAUACUUUUCUUCUUGCAACUUUUGCUAAUGUAGUUAAUGUUUGUGGUAACCCAACUAUAACCUGCCCUCAUAACAGAACUCUCAACAAUUGUCAUCAUAGUGGAGUCCAGGUGCCUUUAAUGUACUGUAACCUCACAACUCCAAGUCCACAGAAUAUUUCAAACUGCAGGUAUGCGCAGACACCAGCAAACAUGUUCUAUAUAGUUGCAUGUGACAACAGGGAUCAACGACGGGACCCUCCACAGUAUCCAGUGGUUCCAGUUCACCUGGAUACCAUCAUCUAAGCUCCUGUAUCAGCACUCCUCGUCAUCACUCAUCUGCCAAGCUCCUCAAUCAUAG
rnacentral:lncRNA from 1 species